GGAUGUGAGGGCGAUCUGGCUGCGACAUCUGUCGCCCCAUUGAUCGCCAAUGUUGAUUUGGCUGAUUGGCUGGCUAGGCAGGUGUCCCCUUCCUCCCUCACCGCUCCAUGUGCGUCCCUCCCGAAGCUGCAUGCUAAGUGGAAGAGGACGACCAUCCCAGAUAGGAGUGUACCAUUCUUUGGUCAAGGGUAUACGAUAGCUGCGCUCCCCUGCUAGAACUUCCAAACAAGCUCAAGGUCCAUUCGUAGAAGAAUGGCAUGCAAGGCAUAAAACCAGAAAACACAUCGGGAACAAAAUCUCUUC